rnacentral:rRNA from 1 species
UACGUAGGGUGCAAGCGUUGUCCGGAAUUAUUGGGCGUAAAGGGCUCGUAGGCGGUCCAUCGCGUCGGGAGUGAAAAGCUGGGGCUUAACCCCAGUCCUGCUUCCGAUACGGGUGGACUAGAGGUAGGUAGGGGAGAACGGAAUUCCUGGUGUAGCGGUGAAAUGCGCAGAUAUCAGGAGGAACACCGGUGGCGAAGGCGGGUCUCUGGGCCGAUAUUGACGCUGAGGAGCGAAAGCGUGGGGAGCGAACAGG